UUGAGAAAAUCUGUAUGAAUCAAACUUGGCGCUGGGUGGAGGGUGGGAAUCUGCUCUGAGGAUCCGAGCUGCAGGCUGGUGCUCACCACGUUUGGGGCAGCAGCACACACGGUGUGGCCCGAGAGUCCGCGAGCAGAGCGGUCAUGUUUAGUGGUCUCAGACAGGGUGCUCCAGGUGCCUGGCACGCCAGACGUAAACUCUCUCUGAAGGAAGUCAACGCCGACCCAGGCCAGUAAGGAGUGUAAGGUACCACUGAGUCCAGAGGAGCUCGAAUAUGAACAAAUGUGCAUGUGUGUGUGUGGUAUGCACACAGAGAGAAAAUACCUUUUGGGGGUACAAGGGACCUACAGAAUCACGUGGGGGACUCACCAUCAGUACCUCUGAAGACAGGUGGCUCCCCACAGAGUGCGCAGGUAAGGGACUUACUCCGGCUUCAUGAAAGGGGUUGGCCGCAGAGGGAAGCUUCCAGACUCCCACGGGGCCCCUCCUGAUGACACUCAGUGCUGCACUGCCCAGUGCUGCCGACAGCCGCGGCCUGUGGGGCCACUGGGGUCUCUUCUGGCCGAGGGCGCUGACGGCCUGGGCUGACCCCCCACGCAGCCCCCCUGGCAUCUCCCAUUUGCAGAGGGCAGAGACCCACUCGUUUCUUGGGUUCCUGGAACCAGUCCUUGAAUUCCUUGAGCCUUUUCCCGCAGGAAGCUUUUCUGUGGGGGGGUCACUGCAGCCCCACCGGGGUACCCCACUUUCCUGUUUGCCUGGGCCUUCUCCCACACCACCUGUACUAGUCCUUUUCUCCAGGGGACUUCAGAGUGGCGGCAGCUGAACCAGACCCUCUUCCCCUGACCUCUCAAAAGCUGGGCCCUCAGCAGAGGUGAGGAGUUCCCGCCCUCCAUACUUGGGACGGGGUGGGGGGGGAGCGGAGGGAGUUGUUGCAAAUGUGGAAUUUCAGGCCCCAUCCCAGACCUGCUGAAUCAGAAUCUGCAUUUUAACAAGAUUGACACCCCCAUUCCCCAACCAGGAGACCCCUACCCGUGCACCUUAGAGUCUGAGAAGCCCGUGUUGAACUGACUUGAAGGUGCCCUGCAGAAAACUACCCACGGAGCCUGGUGGUCUGCAGUCCGGGCUGCUCCCCACUCCUGUGUCCCCCCACCCAGGCCUCUUCCCUGCAGGUGCCCCUCCCCGGGCCCGGGGGCUCUAGGUGGGAGCACCGUGCCAGCCUCACGCCAGCCCUGCAAACCUGCUCUGGGCGCCAAGUUCUGGAGCCCGAGAGGGGCUCCUUCAAAUGAAGCCCUGCUGUCUCCUGCCAGCUGUGACACAGACUCCUUGGUCUCCCCUUUGGACUGGGGUUAGGCAUCCUCGUGAGACCCUGCACCCUGGGACACUGCUGUUCUCUUGCCUGCCAAGCCCAUGAUCAAAACAAAGCUGUGCACGCAGCUACCUGUGAGCUCCAGCUCCUGACUUCACACCUGGUAUCAGGUAGGACCCCCAACUGGAGGGAGUGUUCCGAGCUGGUCAAAGCCUGAACCUGCAGCAUGUCCUGUGGUGGCUGUCACCAUCCAUCCAGCUGUGCCCUGCUGGACCAAGGAUCAGUGGCACUCCUACUUGCCCUGGGCCUUCCAAAGAGCUGGAGAUACAGCAGCAACCAGGACAGACCUGCUCCCUGCCCUCAUGGAGGUGACACAGCAGAAAAGGCCACUGACAGAGCAAGCAGAAGCUGAACAGAAUAACGUCCCUCGGGGAAGGCUUCUCAGAGGAGGAGCUGUUCAAAGGCGUCACAGAGAAUGCAAAGCAGCACCGGGAGGUGACAAUUUUAGGCAGAGGAGAAGCAGGUGCAGAGCCCUGAGGCGGGAACCUCCUCUGUCCUUCGGGAUCCUCAGUUCAGGUCUGCACCCAGAAAGGGGGCGGGCCCAGGAUGCCCCUGUCCUGAUGUGUCACCCUGGCGUUGCCGGCUGAGGGAGUAAGUUCCAGGUACUAACAAAAAGAGGCCUUGCGAGGCCUGUCCACGCAGCCCCAUCUCCAGCUACUGCUCGUUGCAAAGUGAAUGAGCUUGUGUUUGGGGCAUACAGACCUUUGUGGUUACAAGUGACAAAAACCUGAGUUAACGUGACAGGGAAGGAAUUUAUUACCUGAAAAGUCCAGGAGUAGACUAGUUUCAAGCCAAAUUGGCUCCAAGGACUCACACUUUGUCCUGUAGUCUCUCUCACUUUCACUUUCUGUGUCUCUCAGUUCUGCUUUUCCUUCACUCCCCUCGUGGUGACAAGACGGCCAUAGCAGCUCCAGCAACCCCAGCAGGCUCCCGCAGCCAGCGUUCUUGGGAGCCCCCCCAUCUGUAGGACAUGUGGGAAACACCCACACGGCAUUUCCUGAGGCUCCAGGGAGGGAAGCCCCCGCCCCCACUGUGCAGCAACAGGGCUGGCUUGUCCAUCGGGGGGACCUUGAACAGAAAGGCUGUACCAACUGACUCCUCCACCAGCGAAGUGUGAGAGAUGCCCAUUUCCUUGAACCUUUUGCAACACUGGCUGUUAGCAUUUUAAACUCUUUUUCAUAGUUUAACCUUUUUCCCUUUGCACGGGCGCUUCUGAGAGUUCAGACCCAGAGGAUCUACUCGCGCAGUUUAAAAAGCGGCCAGCAGAUGGCGCUGCCGCCCGGCGGCUCCGACAGCCUCGCGGCGCUGGAGAGAAGGGACAACCGGGACCGAGCGCUUGUCUGGGGGUGGGGGCGCGGGCGGGGGGACACGACUUUGGAAAGCCCUUCGGAGGGGCUGGAGAUAAUGCUAGAAAGAGCUUUUCUGGGAAAGUGAUGAUGCUUCGCUGCCUCUGUUGUAACCACUCCCCUCUGCAAGUGUUGGGGGGCCCGGGUGACCCCCAAUUGGGGUUCAGGACCUCGUCCGCUCCCUCUCUGCCCCUCUACCCCUUCCCGCAGCCCACAGGCCCCAGGGGCCAAGGAGGCCGCAGUCCUCCACCCGGUCCUCCACCUGGUCCUCCACCUCGUCCUCCACUCCGUCCUCCACCCCGUCCUCCACCCCGUCCUCCACCUCCUACAGCAGAACCCGACUCUUAAAACAGGGCGCGCGGGAGCAGCAGCCUCUUCAACUCGGGUCUCCGGGGCCUGCGGGCAAACGCGGUUAAAUGAAUGAAUACAUAGAAGGGAAGAGACGAGGAAGGAGGCGUCCCGUAGCCCAGUCAAGUUGACGUAUGAAAUUAACCAUCUCACAACUCCUAGAAGAAAAAAAAAAGCAGAAAAGGUUACAAUAAAAGUCAAGAUAGUGGCUAUUACUGCUGGGAGAGUGAGGAGAUUUUGACAGGGAGGGGACGGUUAGAAGUCUCAGGGAUUCAGGGGGUGUUCUAGUUCUUAGUCUUGGGUGAUGGUUACCAGGGUAUUUCCUUGGUCAUAACUUGCUAAGCUGUACACUAUAUUUUAUGUACUUUUUUCUGUGUGCUAUAUUUCACAAUAAAAAUAUUCUAAUAAAAGAAUGAAUGGA